rnacentral:rRNA from 1 species
UACGUAGGGCGCAAGCGUUAUCCGGAAUUAUUGGGCGUAAAGAGCUCGUAGGCGGUUUGUCGCGUCUGCCGUGAAAGUCCGGGGCUCAACUCCGGAUCUGCGGUGGGUACGGGCAGACUAGAGUGAUGUAGGGGAGACUGGAAUUCCUGGUGUAGCGGUGAAAUGCGCAGAUAUCAGGAGGAACACCGAUGGCGAAGGCAGGUCUCUGGGCAUUAACUGACGCUGUGGAGCGAAAGCAUGGGGAGCGAACAGG